rnacentral:lncRNA from 1 species
AUUUUAUUAUUUUGUUAAUAUUUUUUAUAACUAUCUGACUUGAGUUGAAUAUUAACAAUUUAAACAUUUAUAAUAAAAAAUAAAAAAUAUUAAAAUAUUAUAAAUUAUAGAGUAAACUUCAAAUAUCACUCCUGUUGUUUCGCUUCAUUUCAUUUGAAUAGUCUGUGGUUUAAAGUGUAUCAAUUUAGUACCCUAUGAUUUUAUUUUUUUCUUUUCGUUAGUUCCCCCGUUAAUUUUUCGUUAAAUCAUAUAAAAAAAGCUUCAGAUACCCGACCUAUAGUUUAUCGAAUAUUCAUUUUAGUAUACUUUAGUACCCUUUAGUUUUAAUUUUAUUGUUGAUUUAAUGAAAAAUUAGUGAAAAGGAUAAAAAAAAAGAGAAAAAUAAAAUAGUAAAAUAUAAACGUGAUAUAUUUUUUAAAUUAUAGAGUAUUAAAAUAAAAAAAUAUAA